ensembl:snRNA U7 U7 small nuclear RNA
AUGUGUUACAGCUCUUCUAGAAUUUGUCUAGCAGGUUUUCUGGUGAAAAUUAAACUCAAGAUUUUCACCAGAAAACUUU